rnacentral:rRNA from 1 species
UACGUAGGCAGCAAGCGUUGUUCGGAGUUACUGGGCGUGAAGAGUGCGUAGGCGGUUCUCUAAGUUUGGUGUGAAAUCUCCCGGCUUAACCGGGAGGGUGCGCCGAAAACUGGAGGGCUAGAGUGUGGGAGAGGUAAGCGGAAUUCCCGGUGUAGCGGUGAAAUGCGUAGAUAUCGGGAGGAACCCCUGUGGUGUAGACGGCUUACUGGACCAUGACUGACGCUGAGGCACGAAAGCGUGGGGAGCAAACAGG